AAAAAAAAGGCGGAUAAAAAGAGGUCAAUGCAGACGUAAGUUAAAUGUUGGUGCAGAUAAUCAGCUUGGCCAAUAAUCGGUCGAUUUCCAGUGGACAAUGACACAUUUUAGAUAGCGAUUGUAGACAAACGGUGUUGUUUUGCGUGAUUGCGUCACCUUGUUGAGCUUGUCAGGCGUGGCGGCGACAUGAAGCUCAAACAGCAACUCAGUGAGAACACUCAAGAACUCUGCAUCCACUUCUGCAACAUAAGUACACACGGCUGCCAAUGAAACACCUUUAAUGUGCACUUAAAUGAACAAUAUUUCAAUGCCCCGUAACCAUGCCAUUAAUCUCACUUCACUGUUAAUUAUUUCAUGGCACAUGAAACUAGGCUUUUUGUACGACAAACACAUCUAAUAUGCAAUAUUUUUCCCCAAAAAAGAUUUCAAAGUGUACCGGAUUUUCCGGCAAUAGGGCGCGCUGGAUUAUAAAGCGCACUGCCGAUGAAUGGUCUAUUUGUGAUCUCUUUCCAUAUAUAAAACGCAACGGAUUAUAAGGCGCACUGCCGAAGAAUGGUCUAUUUUUUCAAAUCUUUUUUCCAUAUAUAAAGGCGCACAGGAUUAUAAAGCGCACUGCCGAUUAAUGGCCCGUUUGUUAUCUUUUUCCAUAUAUAAAGGCACACUGCUGAUGAGGUCUAUUUCUGAUCUUUUUUCAAUUAUAAAGCGCACUAGAUUAUGAGGCACACUGCCAAUGAAUGGUCUAUUUUUUAUCUUUUUUUCACAUAUAAAGCGCACCGGAUUAUAGGGCGCACUGUCGAUGAAUGAUCUAUUUGUUGUCUUUUACCAUAUUAAAGGCGCACUGCCAACGAA